GCGCCGAUGGGGUAGUGGUAACCUGGGUCGUUGCCAUGAGUCUAUACGCAAGUCUAUACGAUUCUCGACUGUCGACCCGCCGGGGGUUCAAUUCCCCCUCGGCGCA